AGAACUUAGGAUAUACACUAAAUCCGGGGACCUUCAAAGUCUCAAAAAAGAUGGGACUCUUAGUUCUUG
rnacentral:tRNA from 1 species